ACUGGUUAUAGGUAAUAUUGUUCUUCUCGAACUUAUGACUACUCCUGAGUGAUUAAACUGUCCAGUGGCUUUCUCUAUCUAGCAUAGUCGCAUUUAGGUUGCGUUUUGCAAUGAAUUUGUCUCUAAUUUUCCUUCCAUGUGGUUUGUGCAGCAAACAAUCAAAUGGUAUUGUUGAUGCAUAUUCAUUUCAUUAGAUAACGAUGAUUAUAAAAAUCAUGAACCACAUUCAUGACACUUGCAUGGACCUGUGCUAACUGAAUCUCGUUUGCUAGGUCUGACUUCUCCGAGCACAAGAAGAUUGAUAAGCAAGAGGCACUAGUACUGGAGGCAAAAGGCAGUAGCUUUUCUGUUGUGUACCAAACAGAGCAAACUUGAUGCAAAUUCUGACGGCAAGCUUGUUCAGCAGACAGCGGUGCUUACUUUAGUCCUGCAUACUUUGUGUUGUCUGUGAUGUACCAAAAAUGGUCCUCUCCAUGUUAUGUACUCCCUCCGUUCGAAAUUACUUGUCGCGAAAAUGAAUGUAUGUAGACGUAUUUUAGUUCUAGAUACAUUCAUUUCCGAGACAAGUAAUUUCGAACGGAGGGAGUAACACUUUAUAUGCAUGUGUGUCGUCUCUAUUCUGUUCUGUUCUGUCUGGGAUCGUGCAAUUUAAAAUGUAUGUGUAGUUAUGGUUUAAAGUGGAUGGAUUAAUUUUCUCAUGUCUCAGAAAUUUGUGAUGUUCCCAUACAUUUUAGUGACGAACAUGUUUGGAUUUCUUACAUGAUUCUGAAUGUAGCAGAAGCUACUAAUGAAAUGAAAUAUAUAUCAAAUUUCGUACAGUACAUAUGCAAUUUUUUCUGGACCGGUACAGAUUUGAGAAAUUGUCUUAUUUAUGAGGGACAGAAUGUUUGAUAUAUCAGAAAUUUGGGGUGGUUAUUGCAAAAGUUACCUUCCAUAUGUAAAUACUAGUAGGGGUUUUUGAAGAAAUGUACACUUACAACCCUCCCACUCAAUCUGUACCAAUCAUCUUCGAUCCGAUGACCAUGGUUCGUUUUUCUAUUCUUUC
rnacentral:lncRNA from 1 species